rnacentral:ncRNA from 1 species
CAUAAAGUGAAGAAGAGGAUAAGUAGUUUUAUGAAUUGGAAUUUUGCAGAGAGCCGGAGCUGCUGUGAACCGGUAAUUCCACCAUAAGAUGAACUCACCUCAGAGCAUCAGCUUGAAAGAGUCAAUCGAGUAGAGUUGGUCGGGUGUCUACCACCCGUUAUCAAAACGGACAGGAACAGAUGUCCAUAAGUGCAUGCGUAAUGCGUGAAUUUAGGGUGGUACCGUGGAAUGGGAUUAAAGCCUUUUCACCCCUUAU